rnacentral:rRNA from 1 species
UACGGAGGUUCCAAGCGUUGUUCGGAAUUACUGGGGCGUAAAGGGAGCGCAGGCGGACAAGUCAGUCUAAAGUGAAAUUCCGGGGCUCAACCUCGGACUUGCUUCGGAUACUACUUGUCUUGAGUUCGUGAUAGGAAGACGGAAUUCAGGGUGUAGCGGUGAAAUGCGCAGAUAUCAGGAGGAACACCAGCGGCGAAGGCGGCUUGCUGGACGGCAACUGACGUUGAGGCUCGAAAGCGUGGGGAGGCAAACAGGAUUAGAUACCCCUCGUAGUCCCU